rnacentral:lncRNA from 1 species
GUACUUUGAUUUGUUAAUUAACUACGCCUAUUUAUACCAGUAAGAAAGUAUAUCAAAUAUAAUAUGAAAAAGUUAAUUAUACUUUCACGAAUGAAUACUAUUUUUAGUGGUUGUCAAACAUCCUAAUUUUUUCUAAAAUAAUUUAAUAAUGUAUUCCAAACGCACUCUAAAUCUUUGAGGAUAUGAAAAGUUAUUCAAAUAAUUUGUGAAGCUGUAUGCAGCUCGCCAUUAAUCUAUGUUCUUCCUAUAGGUUUAAUCUUCCCACAAUAUUAUGGAUUUCUCGAGUUCUUUUAACAUUCUCGUAAAUAAUUUGCUUCUAUCACAAGAACCAUACAAUGUCAAUAGACCAUAGUUAAUUAGUUGCUCCUUCGAUGUCGUAGUACCUUGAAACUCAUACUUUGAAUUGCUCUAAUGCAUCGUUCUCCAUUAGUUGUUGAGGUGUUGUCACACACUUUGUUGACCAUUUGAGUGACAUAUCUAGUCCAGUAUUGAUCUAUGUUUUCUCUACUGUAUAAUAAGGUAAAAGAAAACUAUGUAAAAAUUAUAAUUUGAAAAACGUAAAAUAUAAAAGAAAAAUUAACAUGCAAAUCAUUUACGUGAUUUACUAACAUUAUAUUAGUCCACCAGACAAAAAGAACAAAUUAAUUAGAGAUAAUAUUACAAAAUACAAAAUGGCGACAUCUCUCAGAAUUAGAUAGAAUUAAUUAAAGUUUAUAUAACAAACUUUCUCUAAACCCUAUAAAUACGAAUUCUACUUAAACUUGAGUAAUAGAAACGACACACAUUUUUAAUAAGUUUUCGUGUUUUAAAAGCGUUAUACGACAAAUUGAAAACAUCAAUAAAGGGAAGGAGGGGAAAGGGAGAACAUGGGGUUCUUCCAUUGAAGAUAAAAAAAUAAAAGAAGACCUAAUAGCCACUUUGAGAAGUUGAAAUAACACUUUAAGAAUUGAUCAAUUAAUUUCUCUAAUAUAUAUAUAAAUAAUAAGUUAAUUUGAAGUUACAAUUGUUAUUUAAUAUAUUCUUUUUUAUUUAUCAAAAUAAUAUAUACUUUAAUAAGGUAUUUAUUUCAUUUAAUUUAUAAUAAUUUUCAUACACACAAAAACAGAUCAGUUGCCAGUUGGGUCUAUGGGUAUUUCUUUAAUAGGUUUUAAAUUUUGUAUUUCUAUCCAAAAGAAAAAUGGUUUGGUAUACUGAAAUUGCUUUUGUUUUUAUUAUACAUAUCUUCAAGGGUUUGACCAAAAGAUUGCCCAAUUAUUUUCUAUAUAUAUACAUGAGAUAUUGUCUGUUUUUGUAUUUACAUUCAUUUUGCAAAAUAUAUUCCAAUAAUUUGUGAUUUAUUUCAACAUCUAUUUUUGUUUCAUGACUUCCUCUUUGUAUAUAAUGACAAUUCAAAGUUAGUUGUCUUUUUAUAUUGUGAAAAAAAAAAUGAAAAUCUCACAUUUGAAGUUAACGACAAGUACAAACAAGAAUGAGGUAGAGCAGUGUCACAAUAUUACAUAAAGCUAAGAACGUUGCAACAUUUCGACAUAAAAGUGAAGUAGUUUGACAAAAGUACUUAAUAGCAUCGUUAUGCUUUGCUUUUGCCAUGUUAUGAAGCAAAAAAACUAUACAACGUCAACUAAUAUCUUUUUAUCACUUUAUUUUGAAAAAUAAAGUUAAGUCUAAUAUAAUUUAGAACUCUAGUGACCAUUUAAGAGUUCAUAAUAGCUUAGGAUUAUGAUAGAUUCGUCUUAUCUUUUUAAAUACACAAAACGAGAAACCAAAAAUCAAUUGAAGCGAAAAGACCCUAAUUAAUAUUACUUAGCUUUAUGCACAUUGAAGAAGUUGUUGAGUUACCAUCUUGAAAGCAUAAAAAGAAAAUUCAAAAGCUUGAGACAAUCAUGGAGCUUAGCUCACGAUGAGAACGAAUGGCACACGUCAACUGUUAUUAUUUCUUUUUCAUUUUUCAUCUUUGGUUAAAAGUUGUUAUUUUGCAUGUAAAUUGGGAAGGAGUUGUUUAUCUGUAUUUUUAAAAUUUAGUCAAGAAUUUACAUGUUUGUUUCAAGUAAAAAUAUAUAAAUGGAUGAGUAAAGUAAAAAAAAAACAUAUAUAUUUUAAAUUAACACUUUAUAUUAAUAUUAUCUACUCAUACAUAACCCAUAAUUUGAUGCUUUAAGUCAUAACAACGAAAUAGUAAAAUGAGGUUAAUAGUUUGAGAUUAAUGAGAAUUGGCUUACUUCCCAAUAGAAUUAAAAAAAAAAAAGUAUUUCUUGAGCAGGUUAAACCUAAUUAGUCACAUUUUAACUGAUAUGCAUUUGAUGAUAGGGUAACACUAUUUAUUAAUAGGGUAUAACUCUUUACUGGCCAAACUAUAUAUAUACUCGGUUGAUCUAAAAACACACCCAUAAUAUUUCUAAUAAAAAAAACUCCAAGAGAAAAAGAAAAAAUAAUUCAACAAAUUAACUUCAAACCAUACAUGAUUAUAUAAAUCUGAAUGCAAACACUAACCAAAGACAUACCCUGAUUAAUAUUUUCAAUUAACAUUAUUAAAUAAAAACAAUAACAAUAGCAAUAAAUCCAAUAUAAUUUAUUCAAACAAAAUAAGAGAAAAAUCUAACAAAAUUGUGAGAUCUCAAUGUUUCCCUCCUACCAAUAAAAUAGAAAUAAAAAUAAAAAUACCCUUCAAGAAUAUAAUUUUGUAGCUUCACGUGCAGCCUAAGCUGUAGAUUUGAAAAAAAAAAAUUCCCUAUUUUCUUUUUCCAUUUUCAAAACUUUAAAAGCCCCAUUUUUUCUCAUCACAAACCCCAAACCAAACCCAACCAUUUUAGCUUCCCCAUAAUUUCCCCUUUUUUUUUCCUUUUCUUUUCUUUUGGGUCCUCCUCUUUUCCCCUCUUCUUAUACUUAUAAUAAUUUCAUUUCAAUCCCUCAACUAAUUUUCUUUAUUUUACCAAAAUCAACACACAAAAAAAGGGAAAGUUUUUACCAUUGUAUAUUAUGGCUCUAGAGGCAGUUGUUUUCCCACAAGACCCUUUUGUGUAUAAAGAUCAUUUGUUCAUGAAUUUGGUGAAUUCUUCUUCAUGCCUCAACUUCAUUGAUAAUCAUCAAGCUAAUGAUCAAGAUGAUCAUGACUUUUAUUAUCUUCCCAACCUAUCAGUACAGAAUAACUCUCCAAUAUUUUUGGACGAUGAUCAUUAUAAUUUUAAUGAUGAAUCAGUACGACAGGUUGUUGAUUCGACGUUGAUGACGAGCGAGAUGAAGGACGGAGGAGGGAGCGAGCGGAUGGGGAGACGGCGGCAGCAGCGGCGGAGAGGGAAAACACAAAAGAACAAGGAGGAAAUAGAGAACCAAAGAAUGACACACAUUGUUGUGGAGAGGAAUAGAAGAAAGCAAAUGAAUGAGUAUCUCUCUACUCUUAGAUCAUUAAUGCCUCAUUCCUAUGUUCAAAGGGUACCAUCUCUUAUCUUUCUCUCUCCUUUUUUUUCUUCAUAUAUUCUCUCUCUCUCUCUCUUAACAUAUAAAAGAAAAGAAAGCUCACUUUUUUUCUUUUUUCUUACUUCACCCAUAAUGUAAAAAGAAAAUGGCCCAUUUCUCUCUUUUUUAUAUUUGAAAUAGAGAAAGUGAAAAAAAAAAGUUCUUUAUUUUUAUUGGUGGAGCUAUUAUUGUUUUUACAUAGGAUUAAAAUAAAAUAAAAGUGGGAGAUGUUUGAGAAAAGACUUUUUAAAAAAGAAAUUUAAUAAAAAUAUACUUUCAAUUUUGUUAUGUGUCGAAGGUUUUUGCACUUUAAAAGUAUGUAAAAUUUGAACUUUUUUGUUUGCUAAUAGGUUUUGUUAUUUUGAAAAUAGAAAACAUUUUUGGAAUGAAAAUAUUUUGUUUAAUUUUAUGUAAAUGUACAUAGAAAAGUAACGCUAGAAGUUAUUUUAUACACACUUUCAACCACAACAUUAAUAAUAAUGUUCAACACGAGGAAAAGAUAAACUAGAAAGACUUAUCACAUGGGAACUAUGUGAAUUGAUAGACCAAGUACUAUUAUUGUUCAAUUAAACUUUAUCGUUGUUAUUUUUUUACUCUACAAAAAAUGAUAGUUGUUCAAACGAGUAUAGCUCAACAAGGAUAAAGCUCUUUCUUUUUUAUAUGACGAACUUUUGUUGGUUAAAGAACUUAAAAGAGGUUCUACCUAUUGAACGAAUACAAUAAAAAGAUACCCAUGAAAAAGAGGAGGAAGUAAAAAAGUAGAUGAAUUAGAGGAAGUUCAACUCAC